UACAGAGGGUGCGAGCGUUAAUCGGAAUUACUGGGCGUAAAGCGCACGUAGUCGGCUUUGCAAGUCGGGUGUGAAAUCCCCGGGCUCAACCUGGGAACUGCAUCCGAGACUGCAUUGCUAGAGUAUGGGAGAGGGAAGCGGAAUUUCUGGUGUAGCAGUGAAAUGCGUAGAGAUCGGAAGGAACAUCAGUGGCGAAGGCGGCUACCUGGACUGACACUGACACUGAGGCGCGAAAGCGUGGGUAGCAAACAGG
rnacentral:rRNA from 1 species